GUCUCUGAUGAUGUUAGAAUCAUAAAAACUUUCGUUCUUUUGAGAAUAUAUUCAUACGGAAUAAUUAUGGAGACCUAAACUGAAGAGAC